CCUACGGAGGCUGCAGUGAGGAAUAUUGGUCAACGGGCGCGAGCCUGAACCAGCCAAGUAGCGUGAAGGAUGACUGCCCUACGGGUUGUAAACUUCUUUUAUAAAGGAAUAAAGUGAGGCACGUGUGCCUUUUUGUAUGUACUUUAUGAAUAAGGAUCGGCUAACUCCGUGCCAGCAGCCGCGGUAAUACGGAGGAUCCGAUCGUUAUCCGGAUUUAUUGGUUUUAAAGGGAGCGUAGAUGGGUUGUGAGGUCAGUUGUGAAAGUUUGCGGCUCAACCGUAAAAUUGCAAUUGAUACUGGCAGCCUUGAGUACAGUUGAGGUAGGCGGAAUUCGUGGUGUAGCGGUGAAAUGCUUAGAUAUCACGAAGAACUCCGAUUGCGAAGACAGCCUACUAAACUGCCACUGACAUUGAUGCGCGAAAGUAUGGGUAUCAAACAGGAUUAGAUACCCCAGUAGUC
rnacentral:rRNA from 1 species